UUUAUCCCCAGCAGCCAGGACCUUACUAGCCUGGGAGGUGUUCAAGUGAGGAAACAAGCGUUUCCGACUCCUUUAUGGACAUGGCAGAGAUGAGAACCAGCGAGACACACACAGGGGAGCCCGUCACGGAUGGACAACGGUGGAGAGAAGCUUCAGGGGUCCCUGGCCCCAGGACGCUACUGAGCCCAAAGACGAAGUUGUUGGCGGUCAGCCUCUCUUCCUGAUUUUGGGGAAGCCUCAACUCGCCCAGGAGGAAGUCCCAGUUUCCUUCUGGCUUCACUCCCCAGGGGGCCAGUCAGGGGGACGUCAGUAUCCUCUUCCCGUUCACUGCGAGCAGCCAUUUCUUCCAUCAUGGUCCGAAGCGCUGACUGACAGGAGCUGCUAAGAAGCUACAAAAGGAUCCCAGAGGAAAAUACCCAGGAAAUGAGA